GCAAUUUUUAGAGUGUAAGUUCACUGUUUACAUAAAAGCAAUCUCGAAUCGGUCCCACUUUUUUGCUUGAAGUUACUAUCCCCUGCUUUUAUGCACAAGUGGACACAAAAAGUUUGAUGUCUCGUUUUUGUGUGGAACGGGUUGAACUACUCAAAGCAGUGGGUAUUGUGCUGAACGUUGAGUAUCACCCCUACAAGCAGGCACUCAUUGUGAGCACCCAUUCCACUGGCUCAUCGUAGCAGUCGCCAUCGCAUUACCCGCUUUCGGUUUCCAACUAUUCACCAGUUAACGAAACAAUCAAGGCUAAAAAAAACAGUAAACAACCUCAUAAAGGAUGCUUAAUUACGGAAAGCACAUUCGUCGCAUUUACGACUCCGAGUCGGCCACAGAAUCCUCUGUCGAUGACGCUACCAACGCUAAUCACUCUAGCUCGAAUAAUGAAAGUUCCGAAGAUGAGACAUCAAGAUCGCCCCCAUACUCGUCAAGAUCCCCUUCUGAGUCUCCAACAACUCCAGUGACACAACAGAAGGAUUCGGUGGUUAUGGAACAUGCCAACGCCGAUCAGCUUGAUCGCAUGGAGCAUAUUAUAGCGAACAUAAACAAUGCCUUAACCAGGUUCCAAAACAUGCCAGUACCAACUGACAAUGUCGCCGACAAAAGUUGGACCAUAUACAACGCUGUUGAUCAACGUGAAAGUGGUGGAAGUUCUUCGUCGAGCAUUCGUUGGGAUCACCUGUAAUCAUUCCCCACAGGAAUCUCAGCCAAUAAGAUGUAGGAACAAUGGAAUCGCUAUGUGGAAAAUUUCGAGAUAGCGGCCUCACUCUAUAACAUUGUGGACCCCGUAAAAAAAUCCAUGCAGUUGUAUUUUUCUAUGAACGAUGAACUACAAGACAUCCUAAAAGCUGCUAGUUUACGUCCGAGCUUGUCAAGCCCUGGGUGCUAUGACACUUUCGUUUCGAACAUCCGGAAAUACUUGAGAUCAAUGACAGACCCCGCGGCCGAACACGAGGCGUUUUCAAGGAUGGUGCAAGAAAACGGAGAAUCAGCAGUUGCGUUUCAUGCCAGGCUAACAAGUAAGGUUAGAGCAACUACAGCGUCGAUAACGAGGUGCUCGUCACUGCAGAAUUACACCGGAGGAUGAAGUCAUCAUCGAACGGCAUAAUCGUUCUAAAGGUGACUCUCGUUUCUCUCCGACCAGGCACACGGUUGUUAAAGAUCGUAAUGGUAGUCUCACUCUCAUCGAUAACGAUGGAAAAGUAUGCAAACGACACGUAUCGCAGACGAAAAAGGUAAAACCAUGGCGUGAAGUACAGGAGAGUUCGUCGGUAACUUUUACUCACCAUGAAACUACGACUGAAAAAUGUCAAGGCUCAUCAGGGCGUCACACCCGGGAAAGACGAAUGCCGGGUUUCCUGAAGGACUAUAUUCGCUUAAUCAAUGAGAGUGCUCAUUGAAUAAAGCUUUUGUUUUUAUUGGUCUCCGGCGAAAAUGUUGCUCCUGUAAAAUAUGGAUUCAAUAAAUAGUUUUUGUUUUCAUAACA